UUGGUGUCUUCAGCCAGGCCUCUGGUCAGCCUGCUUGGUCUCCAUUUUGGCCUCCCCAGCGUGGCUUUAUUUUUGGCUUUCUUUCUCUAAUUAGAAGAAGAAUUGUGGUGCUUAACUGCUCGUUAUGUGCCAGGUAACCAUCACAGCUAAUAGAGUUAUAUUUGAUCAAGAUCCAGUGGAAACUCAAAGUGGAAUCUGAACUCUAGGUGACCUCAGUGAGGCCCAGAGAAGUGAAGUGAUGUGCCCAAGAU